rnacentral:rRNA from 1 species
CCAAUAGCGUAUAUUAAAGUUGUUGCAGUUAAAAAGCUCGUAGUUGAAUUUCGGGGUUCUACCGUUGGUCGGGCUAUUGUCUGUACUGGCGUGUAGAAUUUCUACCUUCUGGGGAACUAUCAUGUUAUUAAUUUAGUGUGGUAGGAAACCAGGACCUUUACCUUGAAAAAAUUAGAGUGUUCAAAGCAGGCUUAUGUCUGAAUACAUUAGCAUGGAAUAAUAAAAUAGGACGGUGGUCCUGUUUUGUUGGUUUCUGAAUCACCGUAAUGAUUAAUAGGGAUAGUUGGGGGCAUUAGUAUUCAAUUGUCAGAGGUGAAAUUCUUGGAUUUAUUGAAGACUAACUACUGCGAAAGCAUUUGCCAAGGAUGUUUUCAUUAAUCAAGAACGAAAGUUAGGGGAUCGAAGACGAUCAGAUACCGUCGUAGUCUUAACCAUAAACUAUGCCGACUAGGGAUCGGACGAUGUUAACUCUUAUUGACUCGUUCGGCGCCUUACG